rnacentral:rRNA from 1 species
GACGAACGCUGGCGGCGUGCCUAAUACAUGCAAGUAGGACGCAGUUGCGAACGGGUGAGUAACGCGUAGGUAACUACCUAUUAGAGGGGGAAAACUAUUGGAAACGAUAACUAAUACCGCAUACUAGUAGAUGGUCCUGCGUUGUAUUAGCUAGUAGGUAGGGUAAUGGCCUACCUAGGCAACGAUACAUAGCCGACCGGAGAGGGUGAUGGGCCACAUGGGGACUGAGGCACGGCCCAGACGCCUACGGGAGGCAGCAGUAGGGAAUCUUCGGCAAUGGAUGAAAGUCUGACCGAGCAACGCCGCGUGAGUGAAGCAGGUUUGCGGAGCGUAAAACGCUGUUGUUAGAGAAGCGGUAUCUAACCAGAAAGCCACGGCUAACUACGUGCCAGCAGCCGCGGUAAUUC